rnacentral:rRNA from 1 species
UACAGAGGUCUCAAGCGUUGUUCGGAUUCAUUGGGCGUAAAGGGUGCGUAGGCGGCGCGGUAAGUCACUUGUGAAAUCUCUGAGCUUAACUCAGAACGGCCAAGUGAUACUGUCGCGCUAGAGUGCAGAAGGGGCAAUCGGAAUUCUUGGUGUAGCGGUGAAAUGCGUAGAUAUCAAGAGGAACACCUGAGGUGAAGACGGGGUUGCUGGGCUGACACUGACGCUGAGGCGCGAAAGCUAGGGUAGCAAACGGG